rnacentral:tRNA from 1 species
GCGGCCGUGGUCUAGCCUGGUCUAUGAUAUCAGCCUGCCAAUCCUAGGCUUAGCAGAACGCUGACGACCCGGGAAACCGCCUUGAACAGCGGUUCGGGAAUUCAAAUCCCGGCGGCCGCA